AUUGAACGCUGGCGGCAGGCCUAACACAUGCAAGUCGAACGAGUGGCGGACGGGUGAGUAAUGUCUGGGAAACUGCCUGAUGGAGGGGGGUAACUACUGGAAACGGUAGCUAAUACCGCAUACCAUCGGAUGUGCCCAGAUGGGAUUAGCUAGUAGGUGGGGUAAAGGCUCACCUAGGCGACGAUCCCUAGCUGGUCUGAGAGGAGGACCAGCCAACUUGUGACGUAGCCACGGUCCAGACUCCUACGGGAGGCAGCAGUGGGGAAUAUUGCACAAUGGGCGCAAGCCUGAUGCAGCCAUGCCGCGUGAAUGAAGAAGGCCUUCGGGUUGUAAAGUACUUUCAGCGGGGAGGCGUUACCAGCAGAAGAAGCACCGACUAACUCCGUGCCAGCAGCCGCGGUAAUUC
rnacentral:rRNA from 1 species